AGGGGUUAGGCCCCUAGUACCGGGCGAGUGAAGCGGCAACAGCUCAAAUUUGAAAGGCUGGCCUUCGGGUCCGCAUUGUAAUUUGUAGAGGAUGCUUUGGGGCAGCCGCCUGUCUAAGUUCCUUGGAACAGGACGUCAUAGAGGGUGAGAAUCCCGUAUGUGACAGGACAUGGCACCCUAUGUAAAGCUCCUUCGACGAGUCGAGUUGUUUGGGAAUGCAGCUCUAAAUGGGAGGUAAAUUUCUUCUAAAGCUAAAUAUUGGCGAGAGACCGAUAGCGCACAAGUAGAGUGAUCGAAAGAUGAAAAGCACUUUGGAAAGAGAGUUAAAAAGCACGUGAAAUUGUUGAAAGGGAAGCGCUUGCAAUCAGACUUGUUUAAACUGUUCGGCCGGUCUUCUGACCGGUUUACUCAGUUUGGACAGGCCAGCAUCAGUUUCGGCGGCCGGAUAAAGGCUCUGGGAAUGUGGCCUCCACUUCGGUGGAGGUGUUAUAGCCCAGGGUGUAAAUACGGCCAGCCGGGACUGAGGGUCCGCGCUUCGGCUAGGAUGCUGGCGUAAUUGGUUGUAAGCAAAAAGA
rnacentral:rRNA from 1 species